rnacentral:lncRNA from 1 species
ACAUACAUUAUUGCAAGCUAGCUGUUGUACACAUAAUGAACAUACGCCUGCUGCUGCGCGUCUGCUGUUGCAUCGUCCUUAUCUACCCAGCAGGCAGUCACUACACACGCACCACACUUUAGAAAAGUGCAGCAGACCUGUGGGCACAAGUGUGUUGAGGCGAUAUUUUAUGUGAGGAUCGAAUCAGCCACAGCGGCGCUGCUCCUGCUUAAGUAGGGUGUCUCCCUUGCCUCACUAAAUUUACGCAGGCUGCACGUACACGUACACCAUCCAGCCUGGUGACACCUUUUGGGCCCUCGCCCAGCGGCGCGGCACCACCGUGGACGUCAUUCAGGCCUUGAACCCGGGCGUUGUCCCCACCAGGCUGCAAGUCGGCCAGGUCAUCAAUGUGCCGUGCUCAGGAGGAGGGUACGUACGCAUGUAUGUAUGUAUGUAUGAAAUUACUGCGUGGGAAAACGAAAUAGGAGCUCAUAGGCUACAUGUGUGUGUGUGUUACAUGGUUGGGGGUGCGUGACCCCAUACCUGUAAGACUACCCAUACGAGCCGAAGGCCCAAGGGCAAUACUACAACGCCUAAAAGCCACGGAGAAAAGGAAAAAAAAAGGCUACAUGUGCUUGUACCGUAACACGCAAGCACCGCCGACCACCUAAUGUUCCAGAAUCUACCGAGUGCAGUUGGUUUAUUAAUGAUAACUGCUAUGAGUGCUGAUAUUAGUGCAUUUCCGGACACGACUUUCGGGCCACCUAUGGCCAAAAGGAAUGAACUUGUGUGGGCGGCCAGAGCGACGUGAAUCCAUUCAUUUUUCCCAAGUCCGAAAACCCCAAUUUAUUUCUUAUUUUAUUGAAUCUGAUUUCUUGUCACUAAGAGCACAGUGCCUCUAAUCAAUCCCAUACGUACCGUGUGUGCCUGCUGGAUCAGAUCAAUGCCGACCUCCACUACUCCAGCUGCCAGAGGUAAGCACAUGCACUUGCUUGCUCGCAGGUGGUGCAGAUAUAUAGACACAUGACUGCCCGUUUAGGAUUUCUUGCGUAGUUGCCUUACUGCUUAGGGGUCGUACAGACGGAGGGGUAGGAAAGUUGUGCUUUUGCUUCCGUGGGAAGGGGCGAGCCUGGUCACAAAAAAUUCGUUUCACUCAGAAAACAUACAGAUUUUAAGAUUUGUGUCAAAGUAAUAUUGUCAGAAAGAGGUGGAAUAGAUAGUAGUGUGGAAGUGGUGACGGCGGAGCCAUCGUCUGUCAUCCCCAGCAGUCCGGAGGCGAUCCAUCGUCAAUGAGAGCGCGGUGCUAUUGCGAACACAGCUGACGAAGGAGCGUUUACAAGGGGAUUACCUGGGCCUAUGGCUAGCUCGUUCUUGGGUGUCAUCCCACUUGCAUUUUGCGUUUGUUGAGUGUUUCAGAGGGAGGAGGUAAUAAAAUAAUCAUCCUUCGCAGCAAUUCUAUUGAAUCUGCAAACCCUGAACCAGCUGCUGAGUAAAUUAAAACAGUUAUGAACUAAUCAACUCGGAAGUCUCCCUCUGAGAAACACCGGACGGUACUUCGUUUAUAGCUGUUGGGUGCGACCGCUGACACCAUCCCAUAAUAUGCAUACUAUGCUAUGCUAGUGAUGAAACAGAGAAAUGGUAACAGAACGCCGUCGCCGAUGGCUUGCUAUCGUAGUAUUGACGGAUAUGUCCAGUACGGCACAUACAUUAUUGCAAGCUAGCUGUUGUACACAUAAUGAACAUACGCCUGCUGCUGCGCGUCUGCUGUUGCAUCCUCCCCAUAUACCCAACAGGCAGUCACUACACACGCACCACACUUUAGGAAAGUGCAGCAGACCUGUGGGCACAAGUGUGUUGAGGCGAUAUUUUAUGUGAGGAUCGAAUGAGCCGCAGCGGCGCUGCACUUGCUUAAGUAGGGUGUUUCCCUUGCCUCACUCAAUUUACACAGGCUGCACGUACACCAUCCAGCCUGGCGACACCUUUUGGGCCCUUGCCCAGGGGCGCGGCACCACCGUGGACGCCAUUCAGGCCUUGAACCCGGGCGUUGUCCCCACCAGGCUGCAAGUUGGCCAGGUCAU